ACGGAACGGAGCUAAUACCGGAUAAUAUUUUGAACCGCAUGGUUCAAAAGUGAAAGACGGUCUUGCUGUCACUUAUAGAUGGAUCCGCGCUGCAUUAGCUAGUUGGUAAGGUAACGGCUUACCAAGGCAACGAUGCGUAGCCGACCUGAGAGGGUGAUCGGCCACACUGGAACUGAGACACGGUCCAG
rnacentral:rRNA from 1 species